ensembl:lncRNA
CACAGAGCAGGCUCUGAUUGUUUGCAGCAUUGUGUGAGCAUGUGCAUUGUGUGUGUGUGUAUAUAUAUCCAAGUACAAAAUGAGAUUCUGCUUAUCCUCAAGUGUCUGCUAUGUACAUAGGCUAAGGUAGAAGAAAGGAAGCAUUUCCUGUCUUACAGAAAGGCAUUGAAUUAAGAGUGGUCACUGUGAUCGUGUAAAUGUAAUUGCACACACGUCGGUCUGCUGUAGGAUUGGUGAGUGCACUUCUGUGGUCAGUAACUGGCUUAAAAUUUUGAGCAUGAAAAGAUCCAUGUUGCUGUUAAAAGAAAUAGUUUCUAUAUUUAAAAUGACAUUAAGGAGAUGAAUAUUCCACGAGGGAGGGAGGAGGGGAGAGGAACAUCACUGACAGCUUCCUGGCAAAGCAUUUAAGACACUGGAAAACAGACACCGAGCUGAUAUGUGGAUAAACCUAGCAAGGACGUGGUGUAAUGGAGGGAAGAAUUUGGGUGGAGCUGCCUGCUUCCCUUCCAACUGCUUGAACAAAGAAAGAAAGAAAGGAAGAAUAAUGGUAUUAGUAGUGAGUUAAAUGGAAAGCUGAAAACGUGAAUCUUAGUGUCUUACAACUGAGGUUAGCAUGAUGUUGCAAAAGCACUUGCCCACCACCAAGGGCGAGGUGUUAGGGAGCACUGUUCUAUACCUGAUGGUGGAUGCCUGAGUAUUUUCUUUUUGACCCUGCUUAAGCUGUGCAAGCAGAAGAUGCACAUGAAGUGGUAAAUUUUCGUAGUAACUCUGAAGUCACCCAUAACCCACAGAAGCGCCAGGCAGUGACUGGGUCGUAGGGAAAUUUCAGGGCUUUUGUAACCAGAGAUACUGCAGAUGUAAGUACACGUGGUGCUACAACACUGCAAGCCUGUCAUUCUGAUACGCUUACUGGAAGUAGUGAGGAGCUCCACUGCCUAUUUAAAAUCUGCAUUUCGGAGACUGACUCCCUCCGUUUCAGUGUCAUAAAGGUGUCAGCCAACAUCCCUGAAGCCGUGCUAAGAUUUCUAUGGAAGAGAAGACUCCAAAGUACGUACAGCUUUUGGCCCUCCCUCAGGAAGGGGCCGACUGUGGAGUGCACCGCAUGUUGUUGGGCUUUCUUCGUUUUUUAAUGACUCACGAGUUGGACCUUAUUUCUGUUCAUCUUUCAGUGCCAAACAGAAAUUGCUAUUUAGGUCAAACUGCUGUUUGGGUACUAACGGAAGCAGACAUCGGUUUUGUCUAUGGAUUUCACAGCUAUACGUUUUUUCAAAGUGAAGUUCCCUCUUUAGGCUACUGCUGACAUUCAGCUGUGCUGGUGUCACGUUGGCACCAGCACUACCUUUGCUUCAUUACCGCACAUGCAGAGUCAAGGGAUCCAGCAGCAGAGCUUCUGUUCAGCCAUGGUUCCCCUCUGUUCACGCGGGCUCUGGGUACGGUGUUCUCCUCUUCCCAGGUCCUGCUUUCAGGCUGCUGCACUGUCCUGGCUUUUGCAUCCUGGCUCUUCUCUCCAUCGGCGUGACCCUGCAUCCUGUUGGUGCAACUGUGUAUAGGACUCCUGUGGAUUUCCUUCAGUUCUUAUCAGCUGAGGAUCUUCCUCCCCGCCUCUGACUCAGGUACCGAGAUGCCUAAAGAUGGAUCUUUAAGCCUGCUUUUGCACAGAUGGUCAGAUCCUGAGCUACAGCUAAAGUGCAGGAUGGCACACAGAUGCGAAAUACUGGGCAGGAACAACCCGUAACUUUCCAGGAGUGAUUGGAGAGCUGCCUGAAGAACCCAGUGAAAGAUGCACUCAGACAACAUACGGAAGAAAAAGCUAGUGGCUUAUACCGAGGGUUAUAUAUAUUCACUACCAGAAGAGUAGUGACAGCACUCUGUCACCCGCCCCAGCUGAAUCAGUGCGUUAUUGUAUGUUGGCUGAAGGGAGGUUGUACUGAAGCUACCACAAAAGGGAUCCCAAAAUAAGCCAAACCUGCCCUUCCCCCCAGAGCCGCUUCUCACUGCUGUGGGAAGCAGCGGGCACGGAGGGCCUGCGCACCGUGGGCAGUGGCUGCAGGCCGUGUGGUGUAGGGCCUGCAAUUUCAGUGACGUUGGCAAGUUAAAGACACGCAAAAAAUGUUUAAAUCAUCCCAAGUGGUAAGAUAACAGACGAAUUAGCUCCAUUCCAACAGCUAGUUGGAAUUCCUUAGUGUUAACGCUGUUGGCAUAGGUACUAAAUUAUUCAGGUUGUUCUGCAGAAUAAUCUGCUCUGUAUUUACAUGCAUUCUAAAUAUUUUAUUUAAAAUACUUUGAUACGGCUUUCCACGUUAGCUGCAUUUUAGUUUGUCUUCAUCUCUGCUCUCUGUGAGAAGUUGCUUUACCGUAAUUAAAACUAACCCUUACGAAAUGCAUUUAUCCAAAAUGGUUUCCUAGAAAUUUUCUCCUCCACAGACUACAUUACCCUCCCGGUAGUGCAGCUGGGGGCCGAUCUGCCCAGCCGGCAUAAAGAGGGAUGAUUUAGAUCACUGAGCUCCAGCUCUUGGGUAGUGCUUUUUGCCACCAUGAAAUGCCUCAGGAAUUAAGGCACACCAGAAAACUCACUCGAAUCGCAUUUUAAAAAGCGUUUUCCACCAGUCACUAUGUUAGCAGACAUUAUUGUCACCAGAAAGCCUCUGCUAAUCUUACAAAGCAUCUGCGAUGAAUAAUCUUCCCCUCCCCCAUUCUUAUUUGCUGCCAGAAACAGCUUAUAAAUGCUUACUUGAAAUCUCUGCCAAAUUUUGUUUUUAGGCACGCCGUUGUAAAUAGAGAGUAUUUCCCCCGAUCUGGGUAGGAUCCCUCUGGAUUUACACGGGCGCGAAUGAAGCCCCGGCUUUGCCUGGUCCGUUCUCAGCCGCCCCUCGCUGCCCUGCAGGCUGCAGCGCUGCCGCCUCUGCCGCUGGUGGAGGGCGAGUGCUCGAGCACAGCCCGUCCAUCGCUGACAAAUUAUUAUAAACAGAUUUGAACAAAUAUUUCUUUGCAAAACAAACCGGUCAGCAGGCUCCAGGCUCUAUUCUCCUGAUGCGUUUUACAGGAAAUAAUAUCAAGUUAGCUAUUAUGAAACUACCCCCUCCUCACACACGCGUAAUUGCUUCCAGCUUUCUGAUGAUUACCCUUUCCUUAACUGAUAGGGUGAGAAGAGAAAUAAAAAUAUCUCCAUACAGUGGGCCAAAUCCUCAUCUGGUAUAAAUCGACAUAGCUCCAUCAAAGUCAAUAAAACCACGCUGAUUUACACCAGUUGAGGAGUUGAUGCACCGUAAUUUUUUACUUGCUUUUAAAAAUAAAACCUUAUGUGAUUGUGUAACUAACAUUGCAACAGAAACCGGCAUUUCCUUUUGUGAACUCAACAUGUGCCCUCAACUUUCAAACAUUUUCACUUAGACAGUCCUACAGAUAUUUGUCCUCGCCUUCUGGCACAGUGCUCCCACCACCCUUCUACUGGGCCAGCAUCAUCACAGAGGUGCAAACUGUGCUGAAUGAGGGUCAGACACAAAUUAGUAUUUUUACCGAGUAAUGAGGAGAAGGAAUGCCAUUCUGCCACUAUUCUUUCACGCAGAAGAGGGAAAAGAGUCUCCUGAGUGCCGGAUUUGUCUACAAGUCAGCCAUGUAUGUACUGUAAACAUCUGCGUAUUUACAAUGCAGAAUUCCCCUAAUUCUCAAUACCUCAGAUAAUGAUCGACUUCUUAAGAAGAUACACGUGGAAUUACAGUCUCAUCCUCUCUACAGUUUAACUUUGGAUAAUCAAUGACCACAGCCAGGCUGGAAGAAGAAAAACAAGUUGGCAGCUGUGACUAUGUGUUAAAAGGGAUGUUUAUGACUGGAUGAUUAAGAACAGCCGUUGGAAGGGAUCGAGACUGGCAGCAAAGACCGUCAGAAUAGAGACCCAACUGAAUCAUUUGCACAACCUUUUUCUUAUCUUUCCGUGAGACAAAGUUCAUACAGAGAGAUAAGGAGACACUGCAAAUCAGAAGCUAAGCCUGGAAGAGCCUCCUGCAUUCAGAGAACCUUUGCUGCUACUUCAUUUUCCUAAGGAAACCCAGCAUAAUCAUUUGAGCGUUUGGAUUAGCACAUCUACUGGGAGGACAAAGGGAUAAUGCCAACUCUAUCCCUUUCUCUGUAGCCCUUGUAAACAAGCGCAAUACCCACUCAGGCCCAAGAUUUGUAGCUGGUUCUAAAAGGGCAAAGGUUCCCCAUGACUCCAGGCAACAGGAACACACGCAAAAAAAACUCUGUCCCUUUGCUCCAGGCAACUGCUAGACAGAGGGUUGGGGUUUUGUUCUGUGCUGUUUGGGCUUUUUUCCCUCUGGAGGUGUAGUGCCUUUGCUCUUAAAGCAUUCUCAUCUGCCUGGGAAAAUCACACAGGGUUAUUUCUUGCUCAGCUCGUCAUAUUCAGCCCAUUGCCUUGGAUAGCUGCUGCUUCCAGAGCUACCACUGUCCAAAGACACGUGUCCCAGGGCACCCCACGCUUAGCCCAAGCUAAUAAAUCAAGUGUAUGACUGUCAACUGAUUAAAACCUGCUGAUGUUGCUAUUAAUAGUUUUCAGCAUUAUGAAAUGUUGGCUUUCUUAUUACUGCAUCAAACUUCAUCAUUUUCUCACCAGAAGCUUGAGAGCAAGAUUGCAUAAAGCAAGCAACAGGAACUCAAACAAAUGGUACCUGGGCUGGUUCAAUGGAGACCAAAGAAAAGUAAACGUACUGAAUCCUAUUGGUUGGCAUGAAAAGUAAUAGUUUCUUAUUGCUGAGAUGAUCCUUCCUCAUCCAAAGAUGACUCAAAAAAAUUGUUUUUUGUUUGAAGGGUUGCAAGUUUUGUGUUGUCUUUCUGCAGUUUGGGUAACUACUCCAUGACCCUGAGCUCUGGGGUGCUCCCGAGGCAGACCCACAGCAGAACGGGUACACACAGCCUGUGCCAUUUGUUCUGGGCAUCAGAGCUGAGAAAGGGACAAAUGCGGGCUGCCUCAGCGGGUCUGUGCCCUGCUGAGUUGUUCCUGGUGAUGUGAACACGUUUAUGGCUGGGGCAGUUAAGCUGCUGGCUCUGGAGCUGUUUCGAGCUGCUGGAGGCAUGCCAAGGGUCUGGCUCAACUGAUAGAUCUUGUUUUCAAGUUGCACAAGCACGAGUAACCUGCAAGGCUCCAUUAUUUGUUUCAGUGCAAUUGUUAAGUUCAGAUAGGAUUACCUAUAUAGCAGCUACCCAGGAACCCAUGUUGGCAUUUGUCACCUCACCUUAAAUGUCCUCCCUAGAAGCUGCAUCCUCACCUGUAGGCCUUUGGGUCUGACCUUACAGCUGGUAUUCUGACCUCCACAGUCUGCAGAGCCCUGCCUGCAGAGGUCGGGGUGAUAUUCACCUUCUUCUUUUGAGAAGCUGUAGAUCAUAUUCACCCCUGAUGUAAAACCUCCAACCUUAGCCCUUAUUAUUAUUUUUAGGACAAAAUCAGUCAGGUUUCAUCAUGAACCAAAGAGUAAUUUUAAUAGGCUUGAGCUUACAAGUGUGAUGUUCCCUACUUGUGCUUAUUUUUCUUAUUGUUUGCUGUACCUCUGUGCUCUUUAGAAGUUCAGAAUGAGUUUCUCUUCUCAAAGGGUUUUUGCACAGGCUCUGGGAGAUGCUUGUGUAAGGGUAAAACAUGCAUGUGUUCAACUACGUGGCUGGUGGCUGUUUGCAGAGCUCACAGCAGGACCAAGAGUGGGAUCUGGGACGAUUACAUUAAAGAGGAGGUGGAAAAUUUCCCUCCCGCAUUCCCUACCGCUGCAAAAACAGACCAAUUUGCAGGAGCUCGUAUGCUACUCCAAAGGACCAAAAACUGGAGGAAUAACAGUUGUUACAUAUGGAAUUAUUUGGUGAUGGUGGACGUGAACAGGUAUUUUGGAGUAUGUCUGUGAAGAUCAGUUCUUGGUGGCUUUAGGACAAGAAGAAAUAGCAGAGGAGAAGGGAAAACAAAUGUGUGCUGAAGCAGGGAGCAGGUGGAAAGUAAAACAUAAGCAGAACUGCGGGGAGUUUUGAAGGACCAGCCGGGGGUUGCUCUGAGCCCCGGCCACCACCGUCCCUCAUAGACUGUCCUACUGCUGUAAAGCACACAGACAAAGUGCUUCCUGAGAUUUUAUCCUCCCACUUCAACUGUUUUUGAAGUUCUGUGAAUGGGAACUACAACUUCACUCGCUGGCAAAGGAACUCCACCUCGAAUAGCUGCUACAGUACAUCUUCUAAAAACAAUAACGGGGGUUUUUAUUACUCCUUUGUGGCAAAAUCCACAUCAGUAACCCCAGUACGGUGUCUGCAAACAAAACUCCAUUUUCUGUGACGUGUUAAAAACACAUCAAAUUAUGGCAACGCUCCAAUACAGUGCAAAAAAUGCAAUAAAUAUUCCCUUGAAGGGAAGGUGACAUUUUUUUCAGACUCAUUUUCCACUGCAAUCUCAGUGCCCCCUCAGCAGCCAUUAUCUGGGGCCAUAGAAAAUGCUUCUUGUUCCCUCUGACCUCACUGGGAGCAGAGUCAGAGAGUGACUGAGAGGGCUUUCAAUAAUGGAGCUGGAUUCGGAGGUGAAGACUGUAUGAACUGCUCCUCUGUAUCCUGAGAACAUCGAAACGCAGUGCAGCCCUAUUACUUAGUGAGGAUCUGCUCGUCGGGAAGUCACUGCGGGAAUAAUGAGGGGGGGAAGAACAAGAGGAGGAGGAAAAGGUGAGAAGAAAAGAGAGAGGGCGAGAGGGAGCAAAGAGGAAAAGGGGAUUUGCUUUUGAUGUCACACUUCUAUCAACUCAUGCAUUUUUCAUGGAUACCAACUAAUUCUGCAAUAACGCCGUGCUGACAAUCCAGGCACGAGAAAAAAUCAGCCCAGCUCCCACAUACCACCAUACUGGCUUAAAAGUGAAGAUACUUUGCAAAAUGAUCCAUUUUAUUGUUUAAUUCCCUUCUAAUUUGGGAGUUUCAGGUUCACGUAUUCAAGCUCUUCUCUCCAACUUGAGAUUCAGAAAUGUAAUUAUUUUCAUGUAAGCCGAGGUUCCAAUUUAAUCCCAUCUGCCGAAGAGUUUGAGCUGAAAACAAAGCGCAGUGUUGCAAAAUCUCACUGUAAUCAUAGGGGCUGCCAACAGUAAAUGUCACAACCGUGGCAUAUCGUAGGGUUUUGAUGCAAAACUAACUAAAAUUUAUGAGAUGUUAGGAGCGCUAAAAGUGCAUCCACUGAAGUUGCAUCUGUGCCAUUUGCUAGUAAUUAAUUACAAACUGAAAGUGAAGCCAACUGGCAAAUAAAAAUAAGCUGGUGGGAUUCGGAGCUAACCUGCGCUGUAGUUCAAGCUUCAUGUUUUGUAAACUUGAGGAGAGCGCUGGCAUUUCUCGGUGCUUUUGAUUAAAACCCGAUCACUUUUUAAACAAAGCAAUUCACGACUUCGAGUGUAAACAUUCUUUGAGGUUGCAGUCAUCCGGGCUACAGCAACGCCGAUCCUCGCAGGGAAGACAAACAGCCCCUGCACAGGUGCGGGAAGCAGCACAGCACCUUUACGUGCCCGAGCAGGGUUGAUGCUGAAGGCUCCUGCUUAGAUGUCAGCCCUCAGACACCGCCCACCUGCGUGGUUCUGGGGGGGUUCCGGCAGUAGUUCUCUACGUUGAUGUGUAAGCGCUGGAGCCCGCGGUGGGCUCUCCGCAUACGUCUCUAAGCCGGCUGUCACGUAAGAGAUCAGAAGUAGACUAACGUCCCUGGUUUAAUUACGUAUGGAAAUGCCUUAAAGAUAGUAAAAACGGUGGAAAAAAAAAAAAAAAAACCACGAAACAAACAACCCGAGCGCACCGGUAACGCGAUGUACGGACGUCUUCAACGAACUGGCGGAAAAAUAAAGGG